GCUUUUUAACUUUAUUUUUAUUUUAUUUUACUUCUGGUUAUACACAGAAAUACAGGAUUUGGUUUUAUUUCUGUUCAAAAAGCAAGCCUCUUCUCUGGGGUCUGUGUUUCAGGGAGGGCACCUGAAAGUUAGCAGUCAAAUCAUCACUUAGCAAGUAUUCAUUGACCAUGACCUCUUCUAACUAGGAGGAAUUGAGCCCUUCCAGCUUCAAACCCAAGGGGUCUGCUAAAGACAGCAGGUAAUCAGGAUUUAGAAAAUUUUCCAUUCUUUUUUUCCCUGACAAGACAGCAAGCUGAGGAGAUUUUGAGAAGUGAGACAGGAAAGAAAACUGAGUGGGUUUGAAGAUACUUCAGAGAAAACAUUCGAGAAGAUGAUUUGAGAGCAUACCAUUUAUAUAUUAAAUUAUUAAACAUAGGACCUUUAUCCAUGUAACUAUUUGCAUUUUAUAAAAGCACUCUCCCAUACAUAAUCUCAUUUGAUCCCCACAAAAGCCUCUAAGGCAGAAGAAACUGAUGAGAUCACCCCGAUUUACCACUCGGGAAAGUAAAGUGAAAUGGCCAACCCUCAGUUAUCAAACUUACGAAAAUGGAGACUUAAACUUGACUUGGGUCUCUUACUUGAGAACCAGGGCUUUUCCCACUUCACUGGGCAGUUUGGGGGCACAAGAUGUGGCACCAAACCUGUUCUUAAACAUUUACAAAAAAAUGCAUCAACCCCAGUUGCAAGGAAUUCCUUGGUAAGCAGUGUGUUGCAUCACAGCAAAUACAGUUUGGGAGCUGACAGAACAAAAUCAGCAUCUGAGGGAACUAGUUAGAAGAUAUACGAGGUAGCCCCCCAAGGUUAAAACUACAGGAAACCUAAUAUAACUCCCUCAUGUUUAUGACACAAGCAAGUGCCAAAGAAGUUAAGUUCCUGGUCCAAAGCCACAGAAAACCCCAAAACUCAGCCUGGGACAUGUCUCCUGACUCAGACCAGAGCUCCACCUCACAUAACCCACUGCCCCUUGCUCCAAAUUGUGUUAACUAUAUGCCACUUUCCCCAAGGACUGUGUCCCUGAAAUGCUUCCUUGUAAAUUUCUAUAAUUCAAAUACGACCUUUUCAUUGACUUCUUUGACGAAAUGGCAAAUCAAUCCUGUUAGCAGAUAACUUGCUGAAUUCAAUAUGGUAGAAAUCAGCAGAUAAAUUAUGGCUAACAUCCAAAUAACGCAAAACUACUCACUAGGACAAGUCAGGAGCAUUACUUCCAUGUUGAUUUUUUUAUUAUUAGAAAAUAUGAAAGCUUCAUGGAAUAAGGAUAUUUUCCCCAUCAUAUUUUAAAAGAUUAACUCAUUCAACUAAUAUUUAUUAACAUGCCAGGCACUACUCAAGGCUCCAGAAACACAAGAGUGAUCAAAGCAGUUUAAAAAAAAUCACUGCCCUCAUGCAAUCACUUGUGCUUACAUUCUAGCAGGAAUCACAUAUUUUAUUAUUUUUUUGUUUUCCUAAAUUAAUUCAAGUUAAGAAAUGCCUGCAAGGCACUGUGAAAAGUACAAAAUCCAUAGUCUCUGCCCUUUAAGAACAUAAAGUAUUUGCAGGAAAACAGACGUACAGACACUCAUAAAAAUAAUUAUGAAUAAAAGGUAUAUGAUCGAGUCACAAAAGUUAAGUCUCAAAAUAAAUCCUGAAAAUAAUUCAGAGGAAGAGAAAUCAGAGGGCAAGGUUUGGAAGCAAAAGGCUUGUCGAGGGAAGAGAGGGGAGUCCAGUGGGGAAAAGGCAUGGCCAGAGAACAUGAUCCAGAAAGAGCUGGCUUGUUUGGGGGACAGUGCAGAUGCUACCCACCUGGGCCACAGUGGUAAGAAUUGCCUGCAUUCCUCGAAAGCCUGACUGAGACGCUGUAGAUUCAAGCCUAUAAAAAUCAAAGCUACCAAGACUUUCAAGCAAGAGACUAACACACAAGUGGAGUCUUCCGGCAGAACACAGGGUAGGUUGUAGAAAACAAACUAGAGUCCACGUGUUCACUCAUCAACAGGUGCUGCACACAGUGUGCUAAGUGCUUGUGAGGAACCAAUGUGAUGGCCACCUCCGCUAUGGAAACAGACUUGGGGCAAACAAACAUCACGCUUGGUGAUGAGAACCAUGAGUGAAUUAACAGGACGCACAGACAGAGCUUCACAGGGAGGCCCUGUCAGACAGGAAAACCUCUAAGGAGGCGGUGGUCUUGCUGGACCCAGAGGAAGGGUGAGACAGCCCAAGUCUCAGAGAGAGGAAGGAAAAGCGUCCAGAACGAGAAAGCAGACUGUGAGGUCUGAGGCAGGGACAAGAGGUGAUCCCAGGCCCCAGGGCAGCGCACCAUGCUGGAGACAAGGGUUGUGGAGAGGCGGAUCAGGUCAGAACUAAGAGGACAUUACAGAGCUUUAAUAAGGAAUGCCAGGACAGACUGCUUUUUGUUGUUUUAAUUCUAGCUGCUUUGUGGAGAACAGAUUGGAGUCAGAAAAACCACCAAGAAAGGCAGUAGCUACAACCCAACUGAGAAAUGCUGAGAGCCCAGUAACGGCUGUGAGAAUUGGGAAACAGAGCGUUUGAACUCCCCCCCUCUGCUCUUUCCUCGUUUCAGCCAGGCUCAGAGGGAAUAGGGGCCAACAUUAUUGUCAAGUCAAACACACCUGACAGAUGCUGCUGCCCAGGCCAAGCCUCCCUAGAAAUGACUUAUCUGCGCCUCUGCUCUAUCGGCUCAGUGGUGGUGUAAUCGCAGAUGGCCAGACUGACCAUGGAAGAAAAGAGAAGAGAGAAGAGAGCACACUUCGUCUGGAAGAGUCAACAGUCUAAUAUUUGUGUGACCUUCCCUCCACAUAAGCCUUGGCUGUGGCCUGCUGCACUUUCCAGCUAAUAAAGAGCCAGCUGCUGUGGAAAUGGCUUGUUCUAACUGUCUUGGGUUCUACCUGCCGCCCUGCCCAUCAACUGCUUCCAGUCAACUGCCACUAACUCAGAACUACCUCUGGGUCCCUGCCCUCCACACUGGAUCAGCCCUCAGCUCCACCAUUGUCUGUGCUUUGCUUCUCAGCCUCCUUUCUGCUCCACUCCAGAACCAGCCUGCUUUCUGAGAGUUUCUCAACGAUGCCAAACGCUGAUGCUUGUGGCAGUCACAGAUUCUCAAGACUUUGGAUGACACACUUAAACAUUGUGUCAAAAGCUCAGCAUCACACAAAACCUGAUUCUUAAAAAGAAUAUAGUGCUAUGGAGCAUUGUUCCAGCUAGGGUGACCAUCCAUAAGAUUUCUCUGAAGUCUAGUCCUGGGUCUGCCAUCCCCUUCUGCUUCAACACCAAGGCUGUGACAUCUGAACUCAAUGUCCAGAAAUCUGUCAUUUCAAAUUUUGCACAGUCAGAACUGGGGGCUGCUAUGUAGCCAAGCUCUGUCCUGGAUGUCCACACUUUCCCCUGCCAGGCUCACAUGGACUUCUGUUGGCCAAGGUCCUUUGGCCCAUCUCUGUGUGCAGUCUUCUUCAGAAGACUAUCUCUGGGCUACUGGAGCUGCUUCAACUAGAUGUGCAGAGAGCUGGAGGGACCUGGGAGUUUAUGGCCCCCUGAGCAGCCCAUAGCCACUGGCUGAUCACUGAAGUGCGGGAAAGCCUGCCAUGCAGUGAGGCAGGACCAAGACCGCCAUAUAACUUAGGCCCCAGGGCUCCCCAAUGGAUUAGGGUGAAGCUAAGAAGUCACCUGAAAUCCCACCUGGCUUGGCUCCUUCCUACUUGCUUCUCCUACUCUCUAACCAGCUUCUCCUGGGAAAACUUUCUUAAAAAAUGACUUGCAUACAAAUCUCUGUCUUGGGGUCUGCUUCUGGGGAAUCCCACCUAAGACAAUUCCCAGCAUGAAAAAACAAAAAAUAAAUUACAAUCGCCAACAUCAUGCAUGCAAAAAUAAAUACAGAAAGUAUUUAUUUUAACCAAAAACUAACCUUCAAAAGGGCUUUCCAAAAGUGUUCUUUCUAGCCACCCUCCUCCUCAACUACCAUGCUCAGCCACUGAACUCCUAAACAACACAGGGAAGGCAUAGGGUGAAGCCUUGCAACCCUCACUGUAAUUGGGCAGAUGCAACAUACAAAGAAUGCAAAGGAUGCAUGCAAAGAAUAACAACUACUUUCCUAUUAAAAUCUAACAAAUUGCUAUUUAGAGACCUCAUUUCCCCCAGAUCGAAUGAAUUCUUCAGUCAAUCACAGGUUUGUUCCCAGUUGUGUACUGGUAAACCAGGAUCUUCAGAGAACAGAAAAAGUUCUGCAUUCUAGCAUCUGUUAAUUUCUAUGAUAUAAAUACUUCCAUCACAGCCAACUGCAAACUCCCAAUAUGACGUCACUGAAUGGGGAGCUGGAAAGAGGUGUGCACAAUAGGCUCUCAUGAGCCAGAAGAGCCAGCUCCAGCACGCCACCCUAUCAAUUUUUUUGCAUACUUCCAAAUACACAUCAUCUAUUGUGAGUUACAGGAAGUCUCAAGGUAGGUAUUUUUAAAUAGUCCAUAAAAAUUGGACUCAGGUUAUUUAAUGAAUUGUUAGUUGAGCCUAUAACUAAUCUCUUUGACAUUAACAUUUUUAAUAAACAUUUGAGCAAUAUCCAGAUUCAGAAUAUUGGCUAGAACUAUAAUAUCACCUCUAUUCAUUAGGCUUAUAUUUUCUCAAUAAACUGAUUUUGUUUUUCAUAAGAUAUUAAUGCUUUUGGAAGUCUUACUCUUAUUCCUAUUAAUUCCUAAACUCACCUUUAAAAGUGGAUGAGGAAAUACACAGAGGCAGUCAAUUUCACUGAUGCAUACAUUAAACUGCUAAAGGUAAAUCUAAGAUUCUCAGUAUUGCUAAAAUGAAGAACUUCAUCUGAAAGUAUUUUCUGGACUUAAAUCAAACCCUUGGGGCCUGGUUUGAGCUUCCUUGGCUUUGCCGUCUUCUGAACUAAGCUCAUUGGCAACAUACAAGGACGCACAUAUCAGCUCUACGAAGUGUGUCUAUUUGUCUAUGUUGAAUCAAAGACCUCGUCUGAAAAGAAGAGGCAUGGCUCUGCCUGCCAUAACAAAUCUUUGGCAAAUAAGCUCAGAGAAGGAGCUAAAUCCAAGAUAAUGCAGCAUCUGGGACACAAGAUGAAGUAUCACGGGUGUGCACCCAAGAGGAGAAGGAAGUAGAGUUUGAAAUUCGAAGGAUAUGGAGGUGGUAGGAACGAUUUCAAAACACCUCUAAUUCCAGACAAGAUGUUUCCCAGCUGUGAGCUAGUUACUAGGUAGAUACAGGACCAGAAACACCUUCUAAGACUUAAAAAACCACAUAUCUGUAUAACCCUAUUUUUACUGUAAGCAUGCUACUUUAUCUUCACCAAUGACUGUGAACUAAUUUUAAUAAGGUAAAAAGAAAAGAAAUCCAACCCUCUCUCCUCCGCCCUCCCCCCCCCCCGCCUCACUCUCUCACACACACACACCAGACACACAUACUCAGGUACUGGUGUGCUUCUUUGAAUCAGACUUCUUUAAAUCAAUUAAUUCUCUUCAUUUCUUGAAUGACUUUCCAACAGAAUUAGCAAAUGAUAGAGGCUGUGAAAGGGGUGGGCCCUCCAUUUUAAAUAUGGUGAGAGAACAUCACUGCUCCUGGAAAUGCCCCUGAAAGCGGUCCGUGCUAGAUCCCAGCACAGCAACACGCUCUCUGGGCUGGCAGGACAAUAACUGCCAUAGCCAUGACACUAGCCAGUCCCUUUACUGCUGUCUCAUCUCUACCACAUGACAUCACUGGUUGCUCUAAAAUUGUUUUAAGUGGACAGUUUCUUCCUGAGGUAAUUACCACAAAAUUAUUAGAAUUUAAAAUCAUAAUUAUAGGAAAGCCAAGACAGGUGAUCAAGAAUGGGAAAGAGAGCCUCGUAGUAAGCCUCUGUUUUCGCUAUUUAUACCAAAUAACAGAAAAGGUGAAGUGGUCAUCCUUGUUCCAUUUAAUAUACUUUAGCUUCCAGGUAAUAAGCCUCACAGCCCCAAGGAAAUGGAUCCAUGGAUGAAAUAUCUGGUCCUUUCCUGGCAGCCCUCAUGCGGUCCCACUGCUGGCUGAAUAAGCUGGGAGCACAGUCCCUGGCAUCAGGCCCCAGAGGGCUGAGAAGGAGCCCUGGCCUGAAGCUCAUGCUCACUUCAUAUCCCUCCUUCAAGCUGCAGCCCCCUACGCAGUUCAUCUGUGUGAUGUUGACGCCGGUCUGCCACCUAGAUAGUGGGGUGAAGCUUUCCGGUCUGUCAGCGCACGUCAGCCGGCUCGUGCUUCUUCUAAGUGUGGGAAUGCACCAAACUGCUGGUCUCAGUGGCCAUCUUGUGGGUUUCAUCUAGGAAAAGAAGGUAGAGAGAAAGUGAGGGAGAACUAACUGGAUACAUCAGGGUCACUGAGAAUGCUAAGAAGCUGCUGCUGACAUCCCCUCAACCUAUGGCUGUAAUAAUCCUUACGAUGGCUCAGCAAAGAGGAAAAGUAAAAUGUUUACAAAUUUAAAUGAAACUGGCAAUACCGAUAGGAAUGAGGCAGAAAGCUUUGUUU
rnacentral:lncRNA from 1 species